GUCAGUGAGGGCGACCGGCCACACUGGGACUGAGACACGGCCCAGACUCCUACGGGAGGCAGCAGUGGGGAAUAUUGCACAAUGGGCGAAAGCCUGAUGCAGCGACGCCGCGUGAGGGAUGACGGCCUUCGGGUUGUAAACCUCUUUCAGCAGGGAAGAAGCGAAAGUGACGGUACCUGCAGAAGAAGCGCCGGCUAACUACGUGCCAGCAGCCGCGGUAAUACGUAGGGCGCGAGCGUUGUCCGGAAUUAUUGGGCGUAAAGAGCUCGUAGGCGGCUUGUCACGUCGGUUGUGAAAGCCCGGGGCUUAACCCCGGGUCUGCAGUCGAUACGGGCAGGCUAGAGUUCGGUAGGGGAGAUCGGAAUUCCUGGUGUAGCGGUGAAAUGCGCAGAUAUCAGGAGGAACACCGGUGGCGAAGGCGGAUCUCUGGGCCGAUACUGACGCUGAGGAGCGAAAGCGUGGGGAGCGAACAGGAUUAGAUACCCUGGUAGUCCACGCCGUAAACGGUGGGCACUAGGUGUGGGCGACAUUCCACGUCGUCCGUGCCGCAGCUAACGCAUUA
rnacentral:rRNA from 1 species